rnacentral:rRNA from 1 species
AACCCCUCGAGAGUGGCGAACGGGUGAGUAAUAUAUCGGAACGUGCCCAGUCGUGGGGGAUAACGUAGCGAAAGUUACGCUAAUACCGCAUACGAUCUACGGAUGAAAGCGGGGGACCGUAAGGCCUCGCGCGAUUGGAGCGGCCGAUAUCAGAUUAGGUAGUUGGUGGGGUAAAGGCUCACCAAGCCAACGAUCUGUAGCUGGUCUGAGAGGACGACCAGCCACACUGGAACUGAGACACGGUCCAGACUCCUACGGGAGGCAGCAGUGGGGAAUUUUGGACAAUGGACGCAAGUCUGAUCCAGCCAUUCCGCGUGCAGGAUGAAGGCCCUCGGGUUGUAAACUGCUUUUGUACGGAACGAAAAGGUCUCUAUUAAUACUAGGGGCUCAUGACGGUACCGUAAGAAUAAGCACCGGCUAACUACGUGCCAGCAGCCGCGGUAAUACGUAGGGUGCAAGCGUUAAUCGGAAUUACUGGGCGUAAAGCGUGCGCAGGCGGUUAUGUAAGACAGAGGUGAAAUCCCCGGGCUCAACCUGGGAACUGCCUUUGUGACUGCAUAGCUAGAGUACGGUAGAGGGGGAUGGAAUUCCGCGUGUAGCAGUGAAAUGCGUAGAUAUGCGGAGGAACACCGAUGGCGAAGGCAAUCCCCUGGACCUGUACUGACGCUCAUGCACGAAAGCGUGGGGAGCAAACAGGAUU